rnacentral:rRNA from 1 species
AGUGAACGCUGGCGGUAGGCCUAACACAUGCAAGUCGAAUGGCAGCACAGUAAGAGCUUGCUCUUACGGGUGGCGAGUGGCGGACGGGUGAGGAAUACAUCGGAACCUACUUUUUCGUGGGGGAUAACGUAGGGAAACUUACGCUAAUACCGCAUACGACCUACGGGUGAAAGCAGGGGAUCUUCGGACCUUGCGCGAUUGAAUGAGCCGAUGUCGGAUUAGCUAGUUGGCGGGGUAAAGGCCCACCAAGGCGACGAUCCGUAGCUGGUCUGAGAGGAUGAUCAGCCACACUGGAACUGAGACACGGUCCAGACUCCUACGGGAGGCAGCAGUGGGGAAUAUUGGACAAUGGGCGCAAGCCUGAUCCAGCCAUACCGCGUGGGUGAAGAAGGCCUUCGGGUUGUAAAGCCCUUUUGUUGGGAAAGAAAAGCAGCAGGUUAAUACCCCGCUGUUCUGACGGUACCCAAAGAAUAAGCACCGGCUAACUUCGUG